UACGUAGGAUGCAAGCGUUGUCCGGAAUUAUUGGGCGUAAAGAGCUCGUAGGCGGUUUGUCGCGUCUGCUGUGAAAACUCGGGGCUCAACUCCGAGCUUGCAGUGGGUACGGGCAGACUAGAGUGCGGUAGGGGAGACUGGAAUUCCUGGUGUAGCGGUGGAAUGCGCAGAUAUCAGGAGGAACACCGGUGGCGAAGGCGGGUCUCUGGGCCGUAACUGACGCUGAGGAGCGAAAGCGUGGGGAGCGAACAGG
rnacentral:rRNA from 1 species